rnacentral:rRNA from 1 species
CCUGGUUGAUCCUACCAAUAGUCAUAUGCUUGUCUCAAAGAUUAAGCCAUGCAUGUGUAAGUAAUAACAAAUUCAGACUGUGAAACUGCGAAUGGCUUAUUAAAUCUGUUAUAGUUUGUUUGAUGGUACCACUACUUGAAUAACCGCAGUAAUUCUAGAGCUAAUAUGUGGAACUAAGCCCAACUUAUGGAAGGGGUGCAUUUAUUAGAUAAAAGGUCAACACGGGCUCUACACGUUGUUGAGAAGAUUCAUGAUAACUUGACGAAUUGCACGGCCAUCAUGCCGGUGAUGUAUUAUUCAAAUUUCUGCCCUAUCAACUUUUGNGCCUACCAUGGUGGUGACGGGUGACGGAGAAUUAGGGUUCGAUUUUAGAUAGUGAGUCUGACAAAUGGCUACCACAUCCAAGGAAGGCAGCAGGCGCGCAGAUUACCCAAUCCUGACAUGGGGAGUUAGUGACAAUAAAUAACAAUAUCGGGCUCAAUGAGUCUGGUAAUUGGAAUGAGUACAAUCUAAAUCCCUUAAAGAGGAUCCAUUAGAGGGCAAUUUUAGUGCCAGCAGCCGCGGUAAUUCCAGCUCCAAUAGCGUAUAUUUAAGUUGUUGCAGUUAAAAAGAUCAUAGUUGGACUUUAGGAUGGGCCGUCUGGUCCGCUAAUGGUGUGCAUCGAUCGUCUUGUCCCUUCUGUCGACAAUGCACUCUUGGCAUUAACUUGCCGGGUUGUGCCUCCGCUGCUGUUACUUUGAAGAAAUUAGAGUGCUCAAAUCAAGCCUACGCUCUAUAUACAUUAGCAUGGGAUAACAUUAUAGGAUUUCGGUCCUAUUACAUUGGCCUUUUGGAUCGGAGUAAUGAUUAACAAGGACAGUCAGGGGCAUUCGUAUUUCAUAGUCAGAGGUGAAAUUCUUGCAUUUAUUAAAGACGAACAACUAUGAAAUCAUUUGCCAAGGAUGUUUUCAAUAAUCAAGAACGAAAGUUGGAGGCUCAAAGAUGAUCAGAUACCGUCCUAGUCUCAACCAUAAACGAUGCCGACUAGGGAUUGACGAAUAUUGCUUUUAGGACUCUGUCGGCACCUUAUGAGAAAUCAAAGUUUUUGGGUUUCGGGGAGAGUAUGGCCAUAAGGCUGAAACUUAAAGGAAUUGAUGGAAGGGCACCACCAGGAGUGAAUCCUGCGGCUUAAUUUGACUCAACAAGGGGUAACUUACCAGGUCCAGACAUAAUAAGGAUUGAAAGACUGAGAGCUCUUUCUUGAUUCUAUGGGUAGUGGUGCAUGUCCGUUCUUAGUUGGUGGAGCGAGUUGUCUGGUUAAUUCUAUUAACAAAUGAGACCUCAUCCUGCUAACUAGCUAUGUGGAGGUAUCCCUUCGCGGCCAGCUUCUUAGAGGGACUACGACCUUUUAAGCCGGGAAAGUUUGAGGUAAUAAUAGGUCUAUGAUGCCCGUAGAUGUUCUGGGCCAUACGCGCUCAACACCAAUGUAUUCAAUGAGUUUAUAGCCUUGGCUGACAGGCCCGGGUAAUCUUUGAAAUUUCAUUAUGAUGGGGAUAGAUCAUUGCAAUUGUUGGUCUUCAACGAGGAAUUCCUAGUAAGCGCGAGUCAUCAGCUCAUGUUGACUAUAUCCCUGCCCUUUAUACACACUGUCUGUCGCUCCUACCAAUCGAAUAAUAUGGUAAAAUGUUCAAAUUAUGGCGAUGUGGGCGGUUCAUUACCCGCUACUUCACAAGAAGUCCAUUAAACCUUAUCAAUUAGAGGAAGAAGAAGUCGUUACAAAGUUUCUGUAGGUGAACCUGCGGAAG